AACGCAAGCACGGCGACGGUCUUUAUCACUAGACGUAGCGCGGCAACAUAUACAACAACAACAACAAACCAGCGUGGAUGAGGCUAUUAUUGCAAUGUUCCUGUUCUGCCUUGAAAGAUUUAAAGAUUAUGCUUGAGUUCUGUACAGAGAAACACAGAAGACAAAGGCUCCAGUGUAAUAUGAUAUUAAGUAAUAUGAUGGAAGAAGAUAAAUGAGCAGAGCGCAGGAGGCAAACAAAACGACGGGUAAUUACUCUGGUACUGAUGCUCCGUGUAAAGGACACAAUCUGGCAACCAUUGAAGCAAACAUAAACCUGCAGAGGUGAAUGGACAUGGGAGCUAAAGAGCCUUGCUAUGAGGAAAAACUCUACCAUGCACACAGAGAACAGAGCUCAAUGCUGCUAACUGGGGGAGCAGCUGGACAACUAGAAGAGAGAAUAGUAGAACACUAUUAAUACAGAUUCCUGGAUUAUUCUUCUGCAAGAACCAAGACAAGCAAAGACAGAUGAUGAGUGCUCUGAGCAAACACCCUAGUCAAGACGCAUGAGUGACUUUACGGAGUUCUACAUGUAAUGUUGGGCAUUUACUGUACGCAGAACUUCUAAUAAUUUAUGUGGAUGCCAUUCAUAAACCUGUUAGAUUUUGAUGUUUUAGUUUUGAGAUUAAUAAAAUUGUAUGCUUUAACAAUGUUA